ensembl:snoRNA
AAGGUUGUUACAUGGAUUCAAAUCACCAUCUUUAGCUAAGCUUGUGAUGGAUUUGCUUUUUUUCUGAUAAAGCUG